AGAGUUUGAUCAUGGCUCAGGAUGAACGCUGGCGGCGUGCCUAACACAUGCAAGUCGAGCGAUUCUCUUCGGAGAAGAGCGGCGGACGGGUGAGUAACGCGUGGGUAACCUGCCCUGUACACACGGAUAACAUACCGAAAGGUAUGCUAAUACGAGAUAAUAUACUUUUAUCGCAUGGUAGAAGUAUCAAAGCUCCGGCGGUACAGGAUGGACCCGCGUCUGAUUAGCUAGUUGGUAAGGUAACGGCUUACCAAGGCGACGAUCAGUAGCCGACCUGAGAGGGUGAUCGGCCACAUUGGAACUGAGACACGGUCCAAACUCCUACGGGAGGCAGCAGUGGGGAAUAUUGCACAAUGGGCGAAAGCCUGAUGCAGCAACGCCGCGUGAGCGAUGAAGGCCUUCGGGUCGUAAAGCUCUGUCCUCAAGGAGGAUAAUGACGGUACUUGAGGAGGAAGCCCCGGCUAACUACGUGCCAGCAGCCGCGGUAAUACGUAGGGGGCUAGCGUUAUCCGGAAUUACUGGGCGUAAAGGGUGCGUAGGUGGUUUCUUAAGUCAGAGGUGAAAGGCUACGGCUCAACCGUAGUAAGCCUUUGAAACUGGGAAACUUGAGUGCAGGAGAGGAGAGUGGAAUUCCUAGUGUAGCGGUGAAAUGCGUAGAUAUUAGGAGGAACACCAGUUGCGAAGGCGGCUCUCUGGACUGUAACUGACACUGAGGCACGAAAGCGUGGGGAGCAAACAGGAUUAGAUACCCUGGUAGUCCACGCCGUAAACGAUGAGUACUAGCUGUCGGAGGUUACCCCCUUCGGUGGCGCAGCUAACGCAUUAAGUACUCCGCCUGGAAGUACGCUCGCAAGAGUGAAACUCAAAGGAAUUGACGG
rnacentral:rRNA from 1 species